rnacentral:rRNA from 1 species
CUCCGACCGGAGACGGGAGGAGUGCUUUUAUUAUAUCAAAACCAAUCGGCGGCGGGNGCGCUCGCGCGUCCGUUCGCCGCUCAACCUGGUGACUCUGAAUAACUUUCCGCUGAUCGCACGGUCUCGCACCGGCGACGCAUCUUUCAAAUGUCUGCCUUAUCAACUGUCGAUGGUAGGUUCUGCGCCUACCAUGGUCGUAACGGGUAACGGGGAAUCAGGGUUCGAUUCCGGAGAGGGAGCCUGAGAAACGGCUACCACAUCCAAGGAAGGCAGCANGNGCGCAAAUUACCCACUCCCGGCACGGGGAGGUAGUGACGAAAAAUAACGAUACGGGACUCAUCCGAGGCCCCGUAAUC